GGUAGAGAGCAGUCACAGCGGGCAGUAGCAGCAGAAUGUUGGCUACCAGUGUAUUUAGCCUAGUUGGCAAGCGAGCAAUUUCCACCUCAGUGUGUGUACAAGCACAUGGUAGUGUUGUGAAGAGCGAAGACUAUUUGCUCCCAGCUUAUAGGGACUGGCGUGACUAUCCCUUGCAGGAUGUGGCCCAUAUCAAGCACCUGUCUGCCAGCCAGAAGGCCUUGAAGAAGAAGGAGAAGGCCUCCUGGAGCAGCCUCUCCACGGAUGAGAAAGUCAAGCUGUAACUCAUUCAGUUCAAGGAGAGCUUUGCUGAGAUGAACAGGGGCAUGAACGAGUGGAAGACGGUUGUGGGUGCUGCCAUGUUCUUCAUCGGCUUCAUGGCACUCGUUAUCAUCUGGGAGAAGCUCUAUGUGUAUGGCCCAAUCCUGCACACCUUUGACAAAGAGUGGGUGGCCAUGCAGACCAAGAGGAUGCUAGACAUGAAGGUGAAACCAACCAGGGCUUCACCGCCAAGUGGGACUGUGACAAGAAUGAGUGGAAGAAGUGAGAUGCUGUCCUGCACCUGAGCCUGGCUCUGUCACCUCCAUGUGACUCCAUGCCUAUGUACUGGAAACCUGUUAUGCCAAACAGUACCACUGCUAAUAAAUGAUGAGUUUACCUGAAAA